AAGAGAUUUCACUGUACAGGGAAAGCUGUCCAGCUCUAUCUAGGGCAACAUGUCUGUAAUUUACCUCUAAGAAUUAUUUAGCAGCUUAGAACCCAUUCCAGACACUGAUGCAUUUGAAAAAUCCCCCAAACCCACCACAUUCACCCCCUGUGGAAAGUGCUAGAAAUAAGACCAUCCUCCUGCGGCAGGUGAGUGCCCCGCCCGACUCACCUCUCGGGGGCUCGGGGAUGACCCACGUGUUUCUGGCUGACUUGACUGAGGCAUCUCUUGCACUCUGCAGUUUAAUUUCCUUUAAGUGUCUCCCUGGGGACUCUGGAAAGAGUGGGAAGGUGAGUCUGGGAUUGGCAGAGUGCUCAGGGAAUCCGAACAUCGGUGGCCUCCAGCUGUCUCAGCAGCCAACAGCAGAAGACAGCUUCCAGGAGGAAGACACCGUGGACCCCACCCAGCCUCUUCCAGGAAGGGAGCUGGCAGCCCUUCCACAGCCCGAGCCCGGCCCAGAGAGGGAGCAGCUCAGCUCUUCUCCUCUCCGGCCUCAGCGGGCUGCUCAGGGACUCAGCCCAGGAUUACAUAAGGCCUUUCCAACAGGCCACUCUACAUCCCCUGUCGGCCUCCCAAAUGGCAAGAACAAGAGUGUCCAGGGCACCAGGAAACCGGAAGACAGCAGCCUCGAGGGCCAUGUCCUGCAGUGAGGCCCGGCGCCCUCGGCAGUAACCCAGCAGAGGAGAGGGCAGGCCGCGGACUUGGAGAAGGCUUUCCCUUGGACCACACAGAAUGUGGCACUGGCCUGGAUGCGAUUACACUCGUCACUCCAUGCCCAUGCUCAGCCUGCUCAGGGCCAGGCGUGGAAAACAGACUGCAGGAGCCGCAGGCUGAGGCACGCCCCCAGGCACCCUGUGAGGCGGGCAGGGCAGGGAAGCUGCUGCUCCAGGAUGCGUUUCCUGCCCACGCACCAGGCUCCUGGGGCUCCACGGCCUGUGGAUUUUCUGAGCGAGGGACAGGGAGGUGCCCAGGCCUGGUUGCCCAGGCAGGCCUGACAGGAACUGACACAGCGAGAAGCCGCCCUGGAGGGCCGGGUGCAGGCCAACGCAGGGCGGUGGGGCACUGAAACCAGCUCCAAACUGCUGGCUGGCCAGAGUGAGGAAGUGAAGUUCCCCAGCACAGAAGGCAAAUCAAAAAGGAAUGCCACCUCCAGGGCAGGCACUGCACUGCCAAAGGAGAUGUGGCCUCGCCUGGCUCUGUGAGCUACUGACCUUGAUUCCUGGACUGCAAAAAUACAAAUCAACUUGAAGGUUGGGCAGAUGCUUUGAGACAAGCUAUACCCUGCUGGUCUGGGAGCUGGUCCUUGGUCCCAGCCUCUGAAGAGAGCUCCCGCUCUCACACUCUCCACUGCUAUUAAGGCACACCCCGAACGCUAACCAGAUCUCACUUUCCAGGGGCCUGCUCCAUCCGGCGGAGCAACUGGACUCUGGCCACUCUGGCACUCGCCUCCCUGCGGCGAAUGCACCCCAUCCAUGGAGGCCCUGCUUCCCUGCCAGGCGUCUUCACCUCCUCCCCUCUCCUCCCCUGAGCACUGUGAACCCGAGAAAAAUUCCCUUCGACAAUAAACCGUGUGAUUCGUGGAAUCAUAC